rnacentral:misc_RNA from 1 species
GAUGAAGAACGGCAGCAAACUGCGAUACUUGGUGUGAAUUGCAGAAUCCCGUGAACCAUCGAGUCUUUGAACGCAAGUUGCGCUUGAAGCCAUUAGGCUGAGGGCACGUCUGCCUGGGCGUCACGUAAUGCGUCGCUCUCUCGCAGCUCGCCCCAUACGGGACGAGUGUUGCUAAUGGGGGCGGAGAAUGGCCUCCCGUGUGUAGUUGCGGCUGGCCUAAAUUGAAGUCCUUCAUUGCGGGUGUCACGAUAAGUGGUGGUUGAAAAGCUCAAGCGAGUCGUGCGCACCAUGCGAUUGAGGUGUGAUGUUUUGGACCCUAAGGCGAUCUCGUUCCCAAUGGAGGAGCAUUCGUCACGAUCGCGACCCCAGGUCAGGCGGGGCUACCCGCUGAGUUUAAGCAUAUCAAUAAGCGGAGGA